rnacentral:lncRNA from 1 species
UUUGGUGGUGCGCCUGUCAGAUGCGGAACGUACAGAUAAGGUAAUGAGGUAACAGGUGAAUAUACUAUUGGUAUCGGUAGCGGACUCCACCCGGAACUUCUUAAUUAUUGGCAAUAUUAAUUACGUGGAAAACAAAAGGGCCUGGAGUGGUGUAAUUUUUAAUCUACACCUUUGUACUAUAUUAGUUAUAUAUAAAGUUGAAUUCUGUGAUUCGUCGUUUUUACGUGAUGACGGCUGACAAAUUGGACCUCGUAAUUUUAGUAUUAUAGAUACAUUUGUCAAAACAUACUAGAAAC